rnacentral:rRNA from 1 species
CAUGCAAGUCGAGGGGAAACGACAUCGAAAGCUUGCUUUUGAUGGGCGUCGACCGGCGCACGGGUGAGUAACGCGUAUCCAACCUGCCCACCACUUGGGGAUAACCUUGCGAAAGUAAGACUAAUACCCAAUGACGUCUCUAGAAGACAUCUGAAAGAGAUUAAAGAUUUAUCGGUGAUGGAUGGGGAUGCGUCUGAUUAGCUUGUUGGCGGGGUAACGGCCCGCCAAGGCUACGAUCAGUAGGGGUUCUGAGAGGAAGGUCCCCCACAUUGGAACUGAGACACGGUCCAAACUCCUACGGGAGGCAGCAGUGAGGAAUAUUGGUCAAUGGACGAGAGUCUGAACCAGCCAAGUAGCGUGCAGGAUGACGGCCCUAUGGGUUGUAAACUGCUUUUAUAAGGGAAUAAAGUGAGUCUCGUGAGACUUUUUGCAUGUACCUUAUGAAUAAGGACCGGCUAAUUCCGUGCCAGCAGCCGCGGUAAUACGGAAGGUCCGGGCGUUAUCCGGAUUUAUUGGGUUUAAAGGGAGCGUAGGCCGGAGAUUAAGCGUGUUGUGAAAUGUAGAUGCUCAACAUCUGCACUGCAGCGCGAACUGGUUUCCUUGAGUACGCACAAAGUGGGCGGAAUUCGUGGUGUAGCGGUGAAAUGCUUAGAUAUCACGAAGAACUCCGAUUGCGGAGGCAGCUCACUGGAGCGCAACUGACGCUGAAGCUCGAAAGCGCGG